rnacentral:rRNA from 1 species
AGUAAUUAUUUUUAUAUAAUUAAUAAAUGAAGGGUGGAAUAACAUGUGUACAUAUUGCCCGUCGCUCUCGUUAUUUUUGAGAUAAGUCGUAACAUAGUUGAUGAACUGGAAAGUGUAUCUUUUU